rnacentral:lncRNA from 1 species
CCUGACGGUGCAAGCUACCUGCUCCAGGACACCCAGUCAAUUGACCGGCUUGACUGAGCUUCCAUUAGCAUAUGGAGAAGGUGGACAGCUCGCUAAGCCAGAGAGAGGCUUGCUACAUUGUGGUGCCACGUGGCAAAUCUCUUUCGCUAUUUCUUUUUUAAUUCAACGGUAUAAAAAGGCUGGGACAUACAUAGCAUGUGCUUUGGAAUUUUCACUGAGAAAAAAAAGAGAGAGAGCCGACUCCCUGCAAGGGCCCUUAAAGCCCCUAUGUUGAAGUAUCCAAUGGGAGAGAGCUGGUACCUGGAGGUGACUCUGAUGUGAUGGAGACAGUUUAAUUGACCGAACAGUCAUUUAUGAAGCACUGCUCUGCACCUAGUGCUGUUCAAAGCAUUUCAGAAGCAUCAGGUCAUUUAACUGCAUGCUCGUAUAAUGUUUGAGAUGGAGGUGCAAGCUAGAAGACCUGAAGCUCCCAAGGGAUGCACCCCAUGCUUGUAUGGUGAGAGCAACAAGUACAGCUGAGACCUGAAUCCAAGCAAUCUGACUCCAGAUUCUGUUUUCUUACCCAGGCACUUUCCAUCCACACUCGGAAUUAAGGCUGGCUUUCAAAAAGACGGAGGAAAUCGACUCCUUCCCACCCAACACUGAGAUCCUUGGCCCAGAAGUGAAGGGGGAGGCCCAUGAGCUUCAGGAAGUAAACAACACAGUUUCAGGAAGUUCCUGAAAUGAACA